GGCGCCAUGCCAAGAUCUUCAUGGGUGGUGAGUGAAGGCUUUGACACGAAUUAAGAAGAGUGGAGCCCCAUGAUUUCUUGCGAGCAUGCUCGGGUUGACCGUGAUGAGAGGAAGUCGCAUACCUCUUACGUGCAACCGACCACCCCCCAUUACUUCCAUAAGCGUUAUGAGCGUCAGAAUGUUUGAGCCAGGAAAGAAAGAGUGCCGCGGUCAGAGUGUUUG
rnacentral:lncRNA from 1 species